rnacentral:lncRNA from 1 species
AUUAGGAUUUGGUUAGGAUUUGAUUUAAGAUUAGAAUUUGAUUAGGAUUUGAUUUAGGAUUUAGGAUUUGAUUUAGUAUUUAGAAUUUGGUUAGGAUUUGGUCAGGGUUUGGUUUAGAGUUUAGGGUUUGGUGAGGAUUUGGUUUAAGAUUUAGGAUUUUAUUAAGGUUUGAUUAGAGUUUUGAUUUAAGAUUUAGAAUUUGGUUAGGAUUUGAUUUAUGAUUAGGAUUUGGUUAGGAUUUGAUUUAGGGUUUGGGAUUUCAUUUAGGAUUUAAGAUUUAAUUAGGAUUUGGUUUAGGAUUUAAGAUUUGAUUUAGGAUAAGGAUUUAGUUAGGAUUUAAUUUAGAAUUUAGAAUUUGGUUAGGAUUAAGGAUUUUAUUAGGAUUUAUUUAGAAUUUAAGAUUUAGUUAGUUUUUGGCCUAAAAUUUGAAUGAAGUCCAAUAAGAUUUUAACUAGGAUUAAAUUAAGAUUGAUUUGAGAUGUAUUUGAGAUGUAUUUGAGAUAUAUUUGUGAUUAUUCUAAUAUUUCUUCAAGAUUUCUUAUUAUUUCUUUGUAAUUCUUUUGAGGUUUCUUUGAAUUUGAUUAAAGCUUGCUUAACAUUUUUAUGGUCUAAUUAGAAUUUAGUU